AUUCUUUUCCAGUUCAUAAGCAUAAUACUUGGGUCUUUGAACAUUUGUGUGACACGUACCUCUCUUAAAUGUUGUUAUGCAUUUGGUACAUUAUCUGUCUGCUG
ensembl:snoRNA